rnacentral:rRNA from 1 species
GAUGAACGCUGGCGGCGUGCCUAAUACAUGCAAGUCGAGCGAACAGACGAGGAGCUUGCUCCUCUGACGUUAGCGGCGGACGGGUGAGUAACACGUGGAUAACCUACCUAUAAGACUGGGAUAACUUCGGGAAACCGGAGCUAAUACCGGAUAAUAUAUUGAACCGCAUGGUUCAAUAGUGAAAGACGGUUUUGCUGUCACUUAUAGAUGGAUCCGCGCCGCAUUAGCUAGUUGGUAAGGUAACGGCUUACCAAGGCAACGAUGCGUAGCCGACCUGAGAGGGUGAUAGGCCACACUGGAACGGAGACACGGUCCAGACUCCUACGGGAGGCAGCAGUAGGGAAUCUUCCGCAAUGGGCGAAAGCCUGACGGAGCAACGCCGCGUGAGUGAUGAAGGUCUUCGGAUCGUAAAACUCUGUUAUUAGAGAAGAACAAAUGUGUAAGUAACUAUGCACGUCUUGACGGUACCUAAUCAGAAAGCCACGGCUAACUACGUGCCAGCCGCCGCCGUAA